rnacentral:lncRNA from 1 species
UUUGUUUCAUGGCUAUUUCAACGGUUUUUGUUUCAUUUAAAUUUUGCUGUUUCAACUUUGAAAUGAGUCGAAACAAAACAGACAUCGAAAUUUUGCACAGCCCUAGUGCAUAGUAACAUGGAUAGUGAACAGACCUAUUGCUUUUACAAUCAUAAAAUUAAUUCUUAAAAUGUGAAUAUUUCUUCUUUUUUGUCCUCCUUUUUAUAGUCAGGUGUGUUAACAUGGCACAAAUUUCUUUGUACAAGUAUCUUUUUCACUGUUAUCAUUUGUUGUGAAUAACCUCAUGUCAGGUGGGCAAAGUUCUAGCUAAAGAAAAACACAGGUGUAUAUAAACUAAUUAAAACAGCUGAGAGUUGAUGAAGGGCAUUGUUGCUUCUCCAUAAUUAUUUUAUGGAGAAUUUCGCAAUGAGACCUUCAUUAAGAAAAUGUAAAUGUACCAUCUGAAUUUUACUAUUUUAAGAAUUUCACUUCAUUAAUAGUCUAACCUUAGAAAUUGAAAUGAAAUCCUCCCUCCAAAAGGUGUAUUUGAUACAAAUAAGAAAUGGGAAGAAGAUUGCUCUCUCUCUUGCUGUCAGAUUCCUGCAUUUUACAGAGAAGUCAAGUAACCCAAAGAAAACAAAUCUAAGAAACAUUUAAAGGAUAACUUUCAGUUUUAGGGGCUGAAAUUACACAGACUGCUAAAAUGGUGAUUCACCUGUGGAGGAUCACGCCUGGGUAUAUAAGAUUAUUGCAGACUCAAGCUGCGGGAAAAAUAGUUAUCAACACAACAGACAUAUUGAUGCAACGUACAGCUUUGCUAUUGGGAAUGUUUGGGAUCAGUGUUUCUGGCUACAGUACACACCGGCUAACUCAAGAAAAGAGACUUUGUUUGACCCUUUAAGCUGUGUUGGGAUACGACUCAAGAAAUGAGAGUUUACGUCGAUAGAGCUGAGUAAUGGUUUUUCUCUCCUUUAUCAGUUCGGAGUUUGAGAGACACUUCAGUCUAGAUUUCUAAAUGCAAACUUGAAAAGCCAGGGAACACACUGCAGAUCUCUGCAGGUGAAAUAAUGAGUGAUGACUGGGGGAGUUAUUAGAUGUGCAAGCAAAAUGUGAUGGAUUUCUUUGGAUAUACUGUGUGUACAUAGAGAGAAGAUUACAUGUAUGAUGUACAGUUAAAAUCAGAGUAAGUAUAAACAGAUGGAUGGGGGUGCCAUGCUUAAUUAGGGUCACCUUGUAAAAGCUCCUGAAAAUCAUGUCAAUACAAAUAUUUAUUCUGAAAGGGAAUGUUGGAAGCAUGUAUUUUCUUGACAAGACUUAGAGCAAACAGCAAAAUACCUCCCAUGAACCAUUAAUAUUGGACAUACACACAGAGAGGAAUAUACGUUAGACAUCUGUGUGCAUAUCAGAAUUGGCAGAAUCUGUCUUUUAUUGCUGUUGAUCUUUGGACUCUCUUUAUCUGAAAAUGUUCAUACAAUGUAACAUGUUUUAAUA